UUCGUAUAUUAUAUUAUUGAAAAACAGAAAUACUUGUGUUUUAUUUGUACAUUAAAAACUGUAUAAAAUUUAUGUACUGUUAGAAAAUCAAUUUUUUCAUGUGAUCUUAGUAUUUGAAAAAGUAUCGGCUAAUUUAAAUUUGAAUGCAACCUUAGUGAAUUUUAACUAACGAGGAUAAUAUCCUACACACGCAUUCGAACACAACCUAGCUUUCUGUAUGAUGCGUGAUGGAAAGUUUUCACUUUGAUAUGAUUUGCUGAAUGCGUUGCUAUUAAAAGUUGAAUGGACGAAUUCACAUAAUACCUAUAAAUAAUGGUCGAAUAUUUAAACAACUAAUAAUAUCACAUUCUAUUACUUCAUUUAUUUAAAAUUCAAUGUGAACACAGUUGCUAACGAUUAAGUUUUAUGAUAUGUUCGAAAUUUAAAAAUAACUAAGGGCUCGAAAUAGUGUAUAAUAAUUAAUGAUUAUUAGUCAUGUCCUAUUACGGCAUGUAGUGCAAACACAACAGAUACUGCACUAGCAAUUUUUUCUCUUUCAUUAGUCAUCUUGAUCUAUGAUCUUUUAUUUAUAUAUAUUGAUCUUACUUUUUUAUGAAGUUGAAAAGUUAAAGAAUUACUAUCAAGUUUUUGCUUAUUAAUGUUGUAUUGCAUUAUGUUAAUUUAUAAAAAAUAUAACAAGGAUUAUUUUUGUCAAAA